AUUGAACGCUGGCGGAAUGCUUUACACAUGCAAGUCGAACGGCAGCACGGACUUCGGUCUGGUGGCGAGUGGCGAACGGGUGAGUAAUGUAUCGGAACGUGCCCAGUCGUGGGGGAUCACGUAGUGAAAAUUACGCUAAUACCGCAUACGAUCUAUGGAUGAAAGCGGGGGAUCGCAAGACCGCGCGCGAUUGGAGCGGCCGAUAUCAGAUUAGGUAGUUGGUGGGGUAAAGGCCCACCAAGCCAACGAUCUGUAGCGGGUCUGAGAGGACGACCAGCCACACUGGAACUGAGACACGGUCCAGACUCCUACGGGAGGCAGCAGUGGGGAAUUUUGGACAAUGGGCGAAAGCCUGAUCCAGCCAUUCCGCGUGCAGGAUGAAGGCCCUCGGGUUGUAAACUGCUUUUGUACAGAACGAAAAGGUUUCUACUAAUACUAGGAGCUCAUGACGGUACUGUAAGAAUAAGCACCGGCUAACUACGUGCCAGCCGCCGCCGUAA
rnacentral:rRNA from 1 species